GACGAACGCUGGCGGCGUGCUUAACACAUGCAAGUCGAACGGAAAGGCCCUGCUUGCAGGGUACUCGAGUGGCGAACGGGUGAGUAACACGUGGGUGAUCUGCCCUGCACUUCGGGAUAAGCCUGGGAAACUGGGUCUAAUACCGGAUAGGAGCCAUUUUUAGUGUGAUGGUUGGAAAGUUUUUUCGGUGUAGGAUGAGCUCGCGGCCUAUCAGCUUGUUGGUGGGGUAAUGGCCUACCAAGGCGGCGACGGGUAGCCGGCCUGGGAGGGUGGACGGCCACAUUGGGACUGAGAGACGGCCCAGACUCCUACGGGAGGCAGCAGUGGGGAAUAUUGCACAAUGGGCGCAAGCCUGAUGCAGCGACGCCGCGGGGGGGAUGACGGCCUUCGGGUUGUAAACUCCUUUCGCUAGGGACGAAGCUUUUUGUGACGGUACCUAGAUAAGAAGCACCGGCUAACUACGUG
rnacentral:rRNA from 1 species